rnacentral:rRNA from 1 species
GACGAACGCUGGCGGCGUGCUUAACACAUGCAAGUCGAACGGAAAGGCCCUGCUUUUGUGGGGUGCUCGAGUGGCGAACGGGUGAGUAACACGUGAGUAACCUGCCCUUGACUUUGGGAUAACUUCAGGAAACUGGGGCUAAUACCGGAUAGGAGCUCCUGCUGCAUGGUGGGGGUUGGAAAGUUUCGGCGGUUGGGGAUGGACUCGCGGCUUAUCAGCUUGUUGGUGGGGUAGUGGCUUACCAAGGCUUUGACGGGUAGCCGGCCUGAGAGGGUGACCGGCUACAUUGGGACUGAGAUACGGCCCAGACUCCUACGGGAGGCAGCAGUGGGGAAUAUUGCACAAUGGGCGGAAGCCUGAUGCAGCAACGCCGCGUGCGGGAUGACGGCCUUCGGGUUGUAAACCGCUUUCGCCUGUGACGAAGCGUGAGUGACAGUAAUGGGUAAAGAAGCACCGGCUAACUACGUG